rnacentral:rRNA from 1 species
AGACCCGAAACCCGGUGAUCUAGCCAUGGGCAGGUUGAAGGUUGGGUAACACUAACUGGAGGACCGAACCGACUAAUGUUGAAAAAUUAGCGGAUGACCUGUGGCUGGGGGUGAAAGGCCAAUCAAACCGGGAGAUAGCUGGUUCUCCCCGAAAGCUAUUUAGGUAGCGCCUCGUGAACUCAUCUCCGGGGGUAGAGCACUGUUUCGGCUAGGGGGCCAUCCCGGCUUACCAACCCGAUGCAAACUGCGAAUACCGGAGAAUGUUAUCACGGGAGACACACGGCGGGUGCUAACGUCCGUCGUGAAGAGGGAAACAACCCAGACCGCCAGCUAAGGUCCCAAAGUCAUGGUUAAGUGGGAAACGAUGUGGGAAGGCCCAGACAGCCAGGAUGUUGGCUUAGAAGCAGCCAUCAUUUAAAGAAAGCGUAAUAGCUCACUGGUCGAGUCGGCCUGCGCGGAAGAUGUAACGGGGCUAAACCAUGCACCGAAGCUGCGGCAGCGACGCUGAUGCGUUGUUGGGUAGGGGAGCGUUCUGUAAGCCUGCGAAGGUGGCCUGUGAGGGUUGCUGGAGGUAUCAGAAGUGCGAAUGCUGACAUAAGUAACGAUAAAGCGGGUGAAAAGCCCGCUCGCCGGAAGACCAAGGGUUCCUGUCCAACGUUAAUCGGGGCAGGGUGAGUCGACCCCUAAGGCGAGGCCGAAAGGCGUAGUCGAUGGGAAACGGGUUAAUAUUCCCGUACUUGGUGUUACUGCGAAGGGGGGACGGAGAAGGCUAUGUUGGCCGGGCGACGGUUGUCCCGGUUUAAGCGUGUAGGUGUGUGUUCCAGGUAAAUCCGGUUCACUUUAACACUGAGGCGUGAUGACGAGGCACUACGGUGCUGAAGCAACAAAUGCCCUGCUUCCAGGAAAAGCCUCUAAGCAUCAGGUAACACGAAAUCGUACCCCAAACCGACACAGGUGGUCAGGUAGA